UAACAUAAACAGCCUAUAUACGUCCCACCGCUGGGCACAGGCCUCCCCUCAAUCAACCGGAGGGGGUAUGGAGCAUACUCCACCACGCUGCUCCAAUGCGGGUUGGUGGAGGUGUUUUUACGGCUAAUAGCCGGGACCAACGUCUUAACGUGCCCUCCGAAGCACGGAAUCAUCUUACUUUUUCGGACAAUCAGGUGAUUCAAGCCUGAAAAGUCCUUACCAAACAAAGGACAGUCUCACAAAGUGAUUUCGACAAUGUCCCCAUCGGGAACCGAACCUAGACCUCCAGAUCGUGAGCCUAACGCUCUUACCACUAGCCCACGGAGACUGUAAAAAAAAAUAUUGGCAGAGGCUUAAAAAUACUUGUUGCUGGAAUCUUAGGGUGGUAUUAAUAAACUAAUCUCAGCUGAGACUGCCCUCAAGAUCAUGCUCAAGUCUCUGUUUUUACAUGAGAACUGUCACAUUGACAUGAUCUUGAGGGCAGUCUCGAAGCUGAGAUUAGUUUAUUAAUACCACCCCUAGAUCAGAUUUGUAUAGAACUAUGUUCUAACCUAUAUUGCUUCUCUUUAUUUUGAACAGAAUAAAUCAUUAUCAGUGUCUGAAAUCCAUGAAAUUAGAAGGUUAAACGGACCAAGCGUUGGACAAUGCCAUCUAUAUUUUGAUCAAGGAACUUGGCCUGGAAAGUCACUCAUAACAGGAGUCAGUUUCAACCAAUUAGAGGAUAGAGUUUCUAUAUGUAUAUCAAAUAGAAAUUGAGUUACACGAUUUGGCUUCUGAGCGGAAACGAUAGAUGUCGCUUUUGACUUGAAUAAUAAAGAUUUCUUACAUAUUUUUAA